rnacentral:lncRNA from 1 species
AUGGCUCUAAUUCGACUUCCUAAACUCGAACCCCUGCUCUUGAAACUGUCCGAGUUCCAACCUCAUUCGAAAGGGAACGGCCUGGGAUUUGGCAAGGGGAGAAAGAUGAUGGUUAUUUGGUGUUGGUUUGAGUGAAAUUUAGGCAGCUUUUCAUGCUUCAUUUGCCCGUGAUAAUGGCGGAACAAGGAUGCUAGGGCUGAACGGAGGAGACGAGGAACAGAUGGUUUGGUCUUUGAUUAAUGAAGGGAACUUCUGACAUCUAUAAAGAAAUGGGUUGGAUCUUGAAG